UACGUAGGGUGCAAGCGUUAAUCGGAAUUACUGGGCGUAAAGCGUGCGCAGGCGGUUAUGCAAGACAGAUGUGAAAUCCCCUGGCUUAACCUGGGAACCGCAUUUGUGACUGCAUAGCUGGAGUACGGCAGAGGGGGAUGGAAUUCCGCGUGUAGCAGUGAAAUGCGUAGAUAUGCGGAGGAACACCGAUGGCGAAGGCAGUCCCCUGGGCCUGUACUGACGCUCAUGCACGAAAGCGUGGGGAGCAAACAGG
rnacentral:rRNA from 1 species